CGCGGUAAUUUGACCGUGCGAAGGUAGCAUAAUCAAUAGUCUCUUAAUUGGAGGCUGGAAUGAAUGGUUGCACAAAAAAUAAUCUGUCUCAGCUGUAGGAGUAGAAUUUUACUUUUGAGUGAAAAGGCUCAAAUAUAUUAAGGGGACGAUAAGACCCUAUAAAACUUUAUAUAAUAAGGUUAAUUUUUGAAUUUUGGUGUUAAAGUGAAUUAGUCUUUAUUUAUUAUGUUGGGGCGACAAGAAUAUAAAUGAGUAACUGUUUGUAAAUUAAAAUAAGUAUGUUUAGAAAUGUGAUCCUUUUUUAGGGAUUGAAAGAAAAAGUUACUUUAGGGAUAACAGCGUAAUUUUUUCUGAGAGUUCUUAUCGACGAAAGUAGUUGCGACCUCGAUGUUGAAUUAAGAUUUCCCUGAGGGGUAGAAG
rnacentral:rRNA from 1 species